GUACUGAUAAAAGGUGAAAUUAAUUUUUUAGUAUGGGGAAGUAUGAAAAUAAAGCUGGAAUUGAAGCUAUUAAGGUAGAGGAAUGAACCAGGAUUAGAUACCCUGUUACACUUUACUUAAAUUAUAAUUACCUGGGUACUAAGCAGUUAUUAUCUUGAAACUCAAAGGAUUUGGCGGUAACUUAGUCUAUUUAGAGGAACCUGUCCUAUAAUCGAUAGUCCACGCAAUAUCUUACUUUGUCUUGUAGAAAUACAGUUUGUAUACCGUCAUUAUUAGAUAACUUUUAAAAAAUAUAGAGUUGUUGGGAUAGUUUAGCUAAUAAAUUAGAUCAAGGUGCAGCUUAUGUCAAAGAAGAGAUGGGUUACAAUAUAAUGAGUGUACACGGAUUAAUAAGUGAAGAUUUAUUAUGAAGGUGGAUUUAAGAGUAAAGGAAUUUUAAUAAGGUACCUUGACUUUAGCUCUAGGUUAUGUACACAUCGCCCGUCGCUCUCGUUAGUUAAAGC
rnacentral:rRNA from 1 species